UAAAAUGUAAAGUAGAAAUUCCUCCCUUCAAAAUAUUGUGGCAAUAGUGCACUUGAAGCUGUCAGUGUUCUACAUCAAAAGUCCUGUAUGGCUAUAUCUUAUUCGUCCAAACUCACUUCCCAAUAUUUCAGUUGUCGAAACCUACUUUCCAAAGGUAUAAAUUUACCAGACUCUGAAGACGAAAAAAAUCCCGUGGACAUCUUACCGUAAACAAUUGUACAUUUGAGGGUGAUCUGAGCUCUGGAUCGUUUGCAGAUUUCGCUCCUCUGCUUGAUUUAGAGUUGACCCAAGGAUAUACAGAGAUUUCUAAGAGGUUAAUACAGCUUCAAGAAAGCCAAAUAUGAUUCAACCCCCACAACUUAAGUUGCUUGUGCAGGAUAAAAUCAUGAUGACAAGGGUGAUGAUGAGCAGGGCUACUAGGUCCCAGUGCUCCCAAUGUUUAAUAUGCAAACAAGUUUGAAGGGUGCCUUUCAUGGUCCUAAAACACUCUGAUGGCUGACAACUCCAGAAAUUUUAAGCGACUCUGCACUAGAUAUCAUGUUCACAGUAAGAAAAUAUUAUCAACACUUGCACCUCUUUCUUGGAAUGAAAUCUACUUGUUAUAACUAUUGCAAAGCUUAAGAAGUCGAAUUAUAACCGGUACAUAUUGACAACUAACAGAAGCACGCAAGUUCUACAUAGUGUCCAUAUCAUGUACUGAUAACAUGGCAAAACCAAACUCAAAAAGAAAUAAACAGAACAAUCAAGCAAUCACCGGUUCUUCAAAUAAAACUCAGGCAAAACAUCAAAACUGUGGUGUGCGCCACUGAAGCCGCCUAUUGCUUACUCUCCAACUAUUCAACAACGAUCUCCGCCUCCACCCAUCUCAGAUUCCAGCUCUCGAAUGGUGAAUCCAGAAUAUCUCCACUGCUGCUCGUUCUCUCUAACAUUCAACUUUCUCUCUCUGAAAUCUCUUCUUUCUUUCUCUAACCCACCCUCCUUUUCUUCAUCUUCAAUUAGGCUCUUACAAACAUUUUAGCCCAUUUGUUUGAAUUGAAGGCCGACACCACUUAUGCCCAUUUGAGACGAGUCUGUACAUCAACAUAAACUGCUAUGCUGUUCUACCUGAAGAGCUUAAAGUUUAUAUUUGUAUUGUUGAUGAAUGGAUUAGAAGUUUAUCUGCCCUUUAGUCUUGCCUGUCAUGAAAUUACCCUGCUGGUUUAUCAAGAUCGAACCACCAAUUUGUUUAUGCUAGAAGAGAAAUUCACUGCUAUGUGAUUGGAACUGAAUACACAAAUCAUCAACAGACAUUUGUUCAUGAACAGGAUAUUUAAACAACAAAAGCACCAGAAUGAUGUUCAAAGGAGAUUUAGACAUGUGUUCUCUGCUGUCAAUCUCAAAUCGAAAGCUUGAUCUCAACUACAAACAAGCCUGCUCAUUUAGUUCAGAUGAAAGUUCUAAGGUAGCAACAUAUUCAUCAACAUAUGCAAAAAGCUGUUGAAAAAUUACUAUUACACAAAGAUACAAUACCAAGUUAAGUACUACAAAGAUUCAGAGGCACUCCGAACAACGUUCAAAAGUCUAUGCUAUCCAGAAUGCCCAGCUUGGAUAAUUGUACUUAUACUUUUGGUUGCUAAUAUAUAUAGCUCAAUUACAAGUAUAAUACAUACAUUCCUUGAUGUUUUACAGAUUACAAACAGAUUGUCUCAAAACUCACCCGACUGAGCUGGAAAAACAUUUGCUUCCCAAACUGUUUGGGAGUUGUCAUGCGGCAUGAUCAGUGUACCAACCUGAAGGAACUGCCUCCAUAAAGCAUAUCAUACACGGGCCUUAUUCUUUUAGUCAGUACCAUGCUAAGGAGAGUGCCCAUACCACAAACUCCAGCUAGUACCAAGAAAGUUGUCCUAAAACAAGUAGGUCCAAUGCAAGAUACAGUAUGCUGUUUUGCUGCCUCGCUGUCAUAUAUAUACCCAGCAAGGAAACUUGAAAACAGAAGCGCGCCAAGAGGAUUCCCUAAUGACAUGAAGUUGUAGAAAGUGCCAAAAUUCUUCAGACCAAAAAGUUCGGAGGUAGUUGGGACCAUGAUGGAAAAUUGUACACCAUAGCAGAUUCCAAGCAUUGCAGUUGCAACAUACAAGGUGCCACUCAGUGAAGAAGCGAACAGAAGAUACGUAACGAGCAUUAGAACUUGUGAGAUUGUCAUCCAGAAUGUUCUGGGGACCAUUCUAGACCU